CCUACGGGGUGCAGCAGUGGGGAAUACUGCACAAUGGGCGCAAGCCUGAUGCAGCCAUGCCGCGUGUAUGAAGAAUGCCUUCGGGUUGUAAAGUACUUUCAGCGGGGAGGAAGGUGUUGUGGUUAAUAACCACAGCAAUUGACGUUACCCGCAGAAGAAGCUCCGGCUAACUCCGUGCCAGCAGCCGCGGUAAUACGGAGGGUACAAGCGUUAAUCGGAAUUACUGGGCGUAAAGCGCACGCAGGCGGUCUGUCAAGUCGGAUGUGAAAUCCCCGGGCUCAACCUGGGAACUACAUUCGAAACUGGCAGGCUAGAGUCUUGUAGAGGGGGGUAGAAUUCCAGGUGUAGCGGUGAAAUGCGUAGAGAUCUGGAGGAAUACCGGUGGCGAAGGCGGCCCCCUGGACAAAGACUGACGCUCAGGUGCGAAAGCGUGGGGAGCAAACAGGAUUAGAUACCCCAGUAGUC
rnacentral:rRNA from 1 species